GCUUUUUUAGCUCAGUUGGGAGAGCGUAUGACUGAAGUUCAUAAGGUCUUGUGUUCGAUCCACAAAAAAAGCA
rfam:Cyberlindnera fabianii strain 65 BON22_Sc02, whole genome shotgun sequence.